UACGGAGGGUGCAAGCGUUAUCCGGAUUCACUGGGUUUAAAGGGUGCGUAGGAGGGCAGGUAAGUCAGUGGUGAAAUCUCCAAGCUUAACUUGGAAACUGCCAUUGAUACUAUCUACCUUGAAUACCGUGGAGGUGAGCGGAAUAUGUCAUGUAGCGGUGAAAUGCUUAGAUAUGACAUAGAACACCAAUUGCGAAGGCAGUUCACUACACGAAUAUUGACUCUGAGGCACGAAAGCGUGGGGAUCAAACAGG
rnacentral:rRNA from 1 species